UUUUAUUAAUUUUUCUUCAGGUUCUUUGAAUAUUUGGUAAUUUUUUAUUGAAUGCUAUUUUGAAGUGGCAUAUUGAAUUUCAUUGAACUUUGUAGUCUUGGGUAUUGAAUUUUGUUCUGUUAUUUUAAAAGUGGGAUUAGCUUUGAACUUUCAAGACUUUAAGCUUUUUUUGUUUGUUUGUUUUGAGACGGAGUCUCACUCUGUCACCAGGCUGAAGUGCAGUGGCGCGAUCUCGGCUCACUGCAACCUCUGCCUCCUAGGUUCAAGCAAUUCUCCUGCCUCAGCCUCCUGAGUAGCUGGGACUACAGGUGGGUGCCACUAUGCUAAAUUUUGUAUUUUUAGAAGAGACGGGGUUUCACCAUGUUGGGCAGGAUGCUCUUGAUCUCUUGACCUCGUGAUCUGCCCACUUUGGCCUCCCAAAGUGCUGGGAUUAUAGGCAUGAGCCCCCGUGACCAGCCCGGCCUUGUUUUAAGCUUUUUAAUAUCAGGUCCAGAGCAACCUUCAGCCUAGGAAUAACUUAGCCCCAUUAUCAAGGUAAUACUUUUCUGAAGAAAUUCAAAAUAUGAGAUAAAUUCCACAUUUCUGGUAAUUCUUGACUGAAUCACAUAUUUGAAUGUUCAUUAAACAUAUUAUCUAAAAGAUAAUUAUCCAAAACUUUAAUUGUAACAUGAACCAAAUCAAAAUAUACCAAGAAAGUAACAAGCAUAACAAGAGAUCAUGGCGGGGUGUGGUGGCUCACGCCUGUAAUCCCAGCACUUUGGGAAGCCAAGGCAGGUGGAUCUACUUGAGGCCAGGAGUUCGAGAGCAGCCUGGCUAACAUGGUGAAACCCAUCUCUACUAAAAAUACAAAAAAUUAGCUGGGUAUGGUGGUGCAUGCCUGUAAUCCCAGCUACUAGGGAGGCUGAAGCAUGAAAAUUGCUUGAGCCUGGGAGGCAGAGGUUGUAGUGAGCCAAGAUUGCACCACUGCACUGCAGCCUGAGUGACAGAGCAAGA
rnacentral:lncRNA from 1 species